rnacentral:rRNA from 1 species
GAUUGAACGCUGGCGGCGUGCUUAACACAUGCAAGUCGUGCGAGAAAGGGGACUUCGGUCCCUGAGUAGAGCGGCGCACGGGUGAGUAACGCGUGGAUUAUCUACCCAGAUAUUCGGGAUAACGGCGGGAAACUGCCGCUAAUACCGGAUACGCUCCAAUUUCGGUUGGGGGAAAGGCGGCCUCUGCUUGCAAGCUGUCGUAUCUGGAUGAGUCCGCGUCCCAUUAGCUUGUUGGUGGGGUAACGGCCUACCAAGGCGACGAUGGGUAGCUGGUCUGAGAGGAUGAUCAGCCACACUGGAACUGAAACACGGUCCAGACUCCUACGGGAGGCAGCAGUGGGGAAUAUUGCGCAAUGGGGGAAACCCUGACGCAGCGACGCCGUGUGAGGGAAGAAGGCUUUCGGGUCGUAAACCUCUGUCGGGAGGGAAGAACCUUCCAGGUCUGAACAAGGCUUGGAACUGACGGUACCUCCAAAGGAAGCACCGGCUAACUCCG